UACGAAGGGGGCUAGCGUUGCUCGGAAUCACUGGGCGUAAAGGGUGCGUAGGCGGGUUUUUAAGUCAGGGGUGAAAUCCUGGAGCUCAACUCCAGAACUGCCUUUGAUACUGAAGAUCUUGAGUUCGGGAGAGGUGAGUGGAACUGCGAGUGUAGAGGUGAAAUUCGUAGAUAUCGGGAGGAACACCGGUGGCGAAGGCGGCGAUCUGGGUCGAUACUGACGCUGAGGUGCGAAAGCGUGGGGAGCAAACAGG
rnacentral:rRNA from 1 species